rnacentral:rRNA from 1 species
UACGUAGGGUGCAAGCGUUGUCCGGAAUUAUUGGGCGUAAAGAGCUCGUAGGCGGUUUGUCACGUCGGCUGUGAAAACCCGAGGCUCAACCUCGGGCCUGCAGUCGAUACGGGCAGACUAGAGUAUGGCAGGGGAGACUGGAAUUCCUGGUGUAGCGGUGGAAUGCGCAGAUAUCAGGAGGAACAUCCGUGGCGAAGGCGGCUCUCUGGGACGGUACUGACGCUGAGACGCGAAAGCGUGGGGAGCGAACAGG